GGAGGUGUAGCUCAAUGGUAAAGUACCCCUGGGUUCAAAUCCCAGUACCUCCA
rnacentral:tRNA from 1 species